UACGAGGGGGGCGAGCGUUUGUUCGGAAGUUAUUGGGCGUAAAGGGUGCGUAGGCGGUUUGGUAAGUCUGAUGUGAAAUCUAUGGGCUCAACUCAUAGUCUGCAUCGGAAACUGCCGGGCUUGAGUAUGGGAGAGGUGAGUGGAAUUCCUGGUGUAGCGGUGAAAUGCGUAGAUAUCAGGAGGAACACCUGUGGCGAAGGCGGUUCUCUGGGCCUGUACUGACGCUGAGGAGCGAAAGCGUGGGGAGCGAACAGG
rnacentral:rRNA from 1 species